AAGAAACUCCCUCUCUCUCAAAAUCUGAAAUGUUCUAAAUAUUUGACAAGCUCUCUACAUCUUCUAAAAACUCUCUCUCCAUCGUCACAACCCAAAAUUCCAUCAAAGACCCACGAAAUCUAAACUCUAACCAUCCCUCAAGCCUCCAUGGCGGAAGCUCUCUCUCUCUCUCUCUCUCUCUCUCAUCAGUAACUUUUAGGGCUGGGCAUCUGAGGACCGCCCUCGCCGCCUACUCGAUGUCACACUCCACUGCACAGACGCAGACCAUUGUCUCGCUUUGAUUUGGAGUUGCUCAUCUUCAAUAUCUGCAAUCGGACAAGCGUGAGGAGAUGGAGGACUCAUGAGCCAGAGUUACAUCCCUACUUUGUACAUGGAGAUUUAUGGGAGUCUUUCAAGGACUGGAGUGCGUACGGUGCAUGGGUCACAAAAUGGGAGUGACUCUGUUAUGUACUAUGUUCCUUAUUUGUCUGCUAUUCAGCUCUAUGUAGACCCAUCAAAGCCCUCCACAAGAAUAAGGUCAACAAUAUUGUAAACACAAGACUUUCAAUCAAUUCAGUCUGUGAUUUUUCUGCUUAAGCACUCUGGAUUAUAGUUUAUGUUUGCAGCUGCUAACUCUGGUGCAAUGUUCAUUCCUUAAUGUUUCUGUUCAUCCUUUAUUGUGUAUAGUUUAUGGGUUCACAUAGAUGUCAUUUUUUGGGGAAAAUCUUGAGGAAAUUUGAAUUUAGUGACUGAAGCAGAUGGAGCAUGCUGUGCAUUUUGCCUUCUGGAUUUUUUUACCAGAUAACGACACGGGAGCAAAAUCACAAUCAAGUGAGUUUCCAUAGGUGCACCAUUCUUGCUUGGAUGCUCGGUUCUUGGAUCUCUUCAGGUGCUUCAAGACUUUGAAAUGUAACUAAUCAGUUUGCUAGACCAUGCUUAACAAAAUGUUGAAGUUUAAUUACUGUGGUAAUACAAUUUCCCUUAAUUUCCAUUUGGACAAAUGUAACUUGACAAUGGAUUUGUUGAUCUUUCUAAUAUGUAUGGAGCUAUUUUUUUUCUUAAUGAAAACUCUCUAUUCCGGGCUA